rnacentral:rRNA from 1 species
GACGAACGCUGGCGGCGUGCUUAACACAUGCAAGUCGAACGGAAAGACCCUGCUUUUGUGGGGUGCUCGAGUGGCGAACGGGUGAGUAACACGUGAGUAACCUGCCCUUGACUUUGGGAUAACUUCAGGAAACUGGGGCUAAUACCGGAUAGGAGCUCCUGCUGCAUGGUGGGGGUUGGAAAGUUUCGGCGGUUGGGGAUGGACUCGCGGCUUAUCAGCUUGUUGGUGGGGUAGUGGCUUACCAAGGCUUUGACGGGUAGCCGGCCUGAGAGGGUGACCGGCCACAUUGGGACUGAGAUACGGCCCAGACUCCUACGGGAGGCAGCAGUGGGGAAUAUUGCACAAUGGGCGGAAGCCUGAUGCAGCAACGCCGCGUGCGGGAUGACGGCCUUCGGGUUGUAAACCGCUUUCGCCUGUAACGAAGCGUGAGUGACGGUAAUGGGUAAAGAAGCACCGGCUAACUACGUG